GACGAACGCUGGCGGCGUGCCUAAUACAUGCAAGUAGAACGCAGUUGCGAACGGGGGUGUAAAGCGUAGGUAACUGCCCCAUAGCGGGGGAUUAACAAUGGAAACGAUAGCUAAUACCGCAUACUGUUAGAUGGACAUGUGUUGGAUUAGCUAGUUGGUGAGGUAAAGGCUAACCAAGGCGACGAUACAUAGUCGACCUGAGAGGGUGAUCGGCCACCCUGGGACUGAGACACGGCCCAGACUCCUACGGGAGGCAGCAGUAGGGAAUCUUCGGCAAUGGACGGAAGUCUGACCGAGCAACGCCGCGGGAAUGAAGAAGGUUUUCGGGUCGUAAAACACGGUUGGUAGAGAAGCGGUAUCUGACCAGAAAGCCACGGCUAACUACGUGCCAGCAGCCGCGGUAAUUC
rnacentral:rRNA from 1 species